rnacentral:misc_RNA from 1 species
UUUCCGUAGGUGAACCUGCGGAAGGAUCAUUGUCGAAACCUGCCCAGCAGAACGACCCGCCAACUUGUAUAAACAACUGGGUGCGGGGUGGGCGUUCUCGCCCCGUGCCCCCGAACGGCGGGGAGACACUCGUGACUUCUUGCCGAACAACGACCCCCGGCGCGGUCUGCGCCAAGGACCUUCAACUAAAGAGUGCCUCCGGUCGCCGCGGAAACGGCGUGCGUGCCGGAGGCGAAUCUUGUGCAAAACCAUAACGACUCUCGGCAACGGAUAUCUCGGCUCUC